UACGAAGGGGCUAGCGUUGCUCGGAAUUACUGGGCGUAAGGGCGCGUAGGCGGAUCGUUAAGUCAGAAGGUGAAGCCCAGGCUCAACCCUGGAAUUGCCUUUGAUACUGGCGAUCUUGAGUACGGGAGAGGUGUGUGGAACUCCGAGUGUAGAGGUGAAAUUCGUAGAUAUUCGGAAGAACACCAGUGGCGAAGGCGACACACUGGACCCGUUACUGACGCUGAGGCGCGAAAGCGUGGGGAGCAAACAGG
rnacentral:rRNA from 1 species